rnacentral:rRNA from 1 species
UACGGGGGGGGCAAGCGUUGUUCGGAAUUACUGGGCGUAAAGGGCUCGUAGGUGGCCAACUAAGUCAGACGUGAAAUCCCUCGGCUUAACCGGGGAACUGCGUCUGAUACUGGAUGGCUUGAGUUUGGGAGAGGGACGCGGAAUUCCAGGUGUAGCGGUGAAAUGCGUAGAUAUCGAGAGGAACACCUGCGGCGAAGGCGGGUUGCUGGGCUGAUACUGACGCUGAUGCGCGAAAGCCAGGGGAGCGAACAGG